AUUAAAAAACUUUUUUAAAAAAGAAAAAAUAUUAAAAAAAAAUUAAAAAAAAACACCAAAAAGGAAACAGCACAAAAAGGGCAGCUGCCCCUGUGCUGGCUGUGGAUCUCAGCCUUGGCGCUGGGUGCCCGGCUGCGGGUCUCCUUCCUUCCCAGGCCCUGGUGAGGAACGGCCGGAGCAGCGCCUCCCCGGCCAUGGGAGGUGAGCAAAGGUUGAGGAAACGAAAGAACAGAAAAAGAGCAGCGGGCAGAGCUGAGCCACGUCACCACCAGCAGCAGGGCCACCAGCAGGGCGGCCACCAAGCAGGGCCACCAGCAGGGCCACCAAGCAGGGCCACCAAACAGAGCCACCAGCAGGGCCACCAGCAGCAGGGCCACCAGCAGGGCCACCAAGCAGAGCCACCAGCAGCACAGCCACCAAGCAGCACAGCCACCAAGCAGCACAGCCACCAAGCAGCACAGCCACCAAGCAGGGCCACCAGCAGCGCCACCAGCAGCGCCACGCCGAGGGUUGGCCACCAACGCACCCAUCUGUGCCCAGUGAUGAUGGCACGGAGCUGCCGGAAGCGUUCGGCUCUUCCUCCCCCC
rnacentral:lncRNA from 1 species